rnacentral:misc_RNA from 1 species
GCUGUCUCUACAGAGCAGAAGCUCUGCUGAGGUCCAUCUGUCUCAUCUGUCCACUGACAGUUUGUCAGAAGCACAUGUUCAUCAACACACAGUGAAACAUGUCUUCACCUGUAACAGCAGGAAAUCCACCUCUCAAGUGUCCACUCUGCACUUUCACAUGCAGAGGAAACACACGUGAUGGUCAAAGUGUGUGCAGCUCUU